GACAACGGUCAACGUGAUGAAUUAUGAUUAAUUUAUUUUAGGUUCAGUGAUAUUUAUCUGUUGUACUCAUUGUGUUUUAUAACUGAGAAAGCUUUUUAUGAUAAAACAUAUAUGUUAAAGGCACAAGGACUACAAUGUACUUGCAGGAUGUAUUUGAUCGAGUGGUAAUUUGAAUUAUAUGUAAAUAGGAAUAAUGUUGGACCCCAAGCCAAUAUAAACUUAUCUUACUUAAAGUAUUCAAAUUCUUUUUAAUAAAAAACGCAUAUGCAAUCUAGUUUUCAAUGAGAAACUAGUGUAUUGAACAUAAUUAGCGAGAUUUAUUGUUACGCACGUUUGUCAAACGAAUGUUCUGAUAUCGAGAAAUAAGAAAGGUAUAACUUUGAAGAAUUUGAAUAUAUAAGUUUAACUCCUCAAAAGAACAUAAAAUCAAACCUAAAUCUUGUUGUCCAGAUUUUUGAAAUAACAUGAUUGUCGUUUUUCAUUUGUCAAUUCGGGGCUUUUAAUAGUUAACUAUGCGGUUUGGGUUUUGCUCGGCAUUGUAGAAUGCCGGACGUUGACUUAUAAUUUUUAAUUUCUGUGAAUUUUGGUCACAUGUAGACAGCUGAGAGUUGUUAAUAAUACCACAUCUUCUAAUCUAUAUAUAAACACUUAAAAAAAGCAGGAAAUCCAACCUAAACCAUGUUAUCCAGGAUUUUGUAAUGAUAUGUGAUAUGGUUAAUUAUGCACAAAAAAAGCAAAACAAAUUGACAGCUAUAAAAAAAUACAACUAUUAUUCUUCGUUUUGCACUAAAAGUUUGAGCCUAAUGUAUUUACUGUCUUGAUAUAGAUUCGAUAUUUCGAAUUUAAAAUAUUAAAACGCA
rnacentral:lncRNA from 1 species